rnacentral:rRNA from 1 species
CGAACGCUGGCGGCGUGCUUAACACAUGCAAGUCGAGCGGAAAGGCCCUUCGGGGUCCUCGAGCGGCGAACGGGUGAGUAACACGUGAGUAACCUGCCCCAGACUUUGGGAUAACCCUCGGAAACGGGGGCUAAUACCGGAUACGACACAGCUUCGCAUGGGGUCUGUGUGGAAAGUUUUUCGGUUUGGGAUGGGCUCGCGGCCUAUCAGCUUGUUGGUGGGGUGAUGGCCUACCAAGGCGACGACGGGUAGCCGGCCUGAGAGGGCGACCGGCCACACUGGGACUGAGACACGGCCCAGACUCCUACGGGAGGCAGCAGUGGGGAAUAUUGCACAAUGGGCGGAAGCCUGAUGCAGCGACGCCGCGUGAGGGAUGACGGCCUUCGGGUUGUAAACCUCUUUCAGCAGGGACGAAGCGUAAGUGACGGUACCUGCAGAAGAAGCGCCGGCCAACUACGUG